rnacentral:lncRNA from 1 species
UUUUUUUUUUUAAGUUAAAAAACCCGUUCUCAUUCUCAUGACUAUUCAUAUUUUUUGUUUUUUUAUAUUUGUAGAAAUUUUGUCUACAUUAUGUAUAUUUGUUAUAGGUUAUCAACUUUUCUACAUUUUCCUGUAAAUUAUAAAUUUCUUGUAUAUUAUUCAAAAUUAUUUUGUUAGGGAAUGUACUACAUGAUUUAGUUGGUUUUAUUGGUUAUUAUUUGCUCUAUUUUGUACAUGUUAGUUUUAUUUUCUGUAAAGAAAUUGUAUAUAUUAUGUCUAAUUGUUACUUUCUAAUUUUUUGUUCUAAACAUAAUUUUAUCAGUGCAUUUGUAGCUUCAAUAUAGUCAGUUGUUAUAUAUGUUUACUAAUUUUAUAACUUACUUGUAUGCAACAACAACAACAACAACCCAGUAUAAUCCCACUAGUGGGAUUUGGGGAGGGUAGUGUGUACGCAGACCUUACCCCUACCCUGGGGUAGAGAGGCUGUUUCCAAAUGACCCUCGGCAUCCUUCCCUCCAAGAACUCCCCACCUUGCUCUUGGGUUGACUCGAACUCACAACCUCUUGGUUGAAAGUGUAGGAUGCUUACCAUCAUAGCAACCCACCUUGUCAAUAUAACUUACUUGUAUGCAAUGUAUUACUAUCUUUUUGAUUGUAGCUAAAUUGUAGUAGAAAUAUAUUUAUUUUGUUUUCUAGUAUUCAAACAAGUUUUAUUAACUUAUUGUUUCUUUUGGUGCAGAAUCGAACAUUUUUUGCACCACAUGAUGUUGAUUAUGGCAUCACUAGAUUCCAGACAUUAUCCGACGCUGCUAUUCCUAGCCAAAUCAAGGUGUUAUUAUCUGAAAAUGGGUUAAAGUUGUUUAAGAAGACAUAUUUUGGGCAUUUUCUUUCCCUGCCCAAAAUAUGUAUCCAAAAUCAGGCAAUUCACCUUCUCAUGAAGUAUGAAUUGAACGCAUCUGGUUCUAACUUUUUUACAGGAGAGAUAAAAGGUGAGAUGCUGAACUUUGGAUUGAGGGAGUUUGCCCUUAUCACUGGCCUUAGAUGUUUUACAGAAGUGACAAACUUUGGUUACACAACUAAGUAUGAUAGUAAAAUAAUAAGGAGCUAUUUUUCGAACAAGAAAAAAGUUGAGAAAUCAUACUUGAAAAAAAUUGUAACCAGCCGUAGUUGGGUGAAUGAUGAGGAUGCAGUCAAGCUGUGUAUUCUCUAUCUGAUAGAAUUCUUCCUAUGUCCUUCAGACAAAGAUAAUUUAGGUUUGAUAGACCAUUUUAGGUUCUACUUGGUGGACUCGGGGCAGUAUGCGAAUAACGCAUGGGGUAUCGAAGCUUAUACACAAUUGCUUUAGUCCGUUAGGCACAAGCUCAACCCUUUUGUGCAUUUUUAUCUCAUUCGAGAUUUUUCACUCGCUAUGCAAAUAUGGUUGUAUGAGUGUUGCUCUACAGUCAACACUGAUAUAGCUACAAGAGUUGGUAAUUCGAUCCCCGGUAUACUUAAAUGGACAGCUAGUAAGGACAAGAUAUGAUUAUCUGCAUUGGAAGAUAGAAUGAUCAAACCAUCAUGGAUCAUGGUAAAUAUUUUUUACUUCUGGACAUACAAUUUAAUACAAAUUAUCUACAUAUUUUAUACAUAUUAUGACUAGGUCCCUCGCAUUUAUUUUCACUCAGUUCACCAACAUACUUGAAUCCCCAGAAGAGCUUUCAAGAAUGACUUUGCCAGACAAAGUUGAAUACAUACUUGAAGAGGCUGAAACAAAGGCCGAGCAUCCGAUAGCUGCUCCAUCUCUAUCUGGACAUAAGCAGACAAUGGGAAUAGAUGACAAGAAAGAUAUUGUGAAACAAAUAAAAAUAAUUAAGAAAAGAUGUUGAUAAGGUAACAUGUAUACAUAAUCCUAGCUGGUUUCUUUAAUUUAUGUUAUGCAAAUUAUUUCGUUAACUCUUUCUAUUUUAAUACGUAGGUGGGUUCAGACCUUGGAACCUUCAAGAAAGAGGUAUACCUAAUUCUUGAUUUUUAGUCUUCUUUAUAUAUNNNNUACACACACACAUGUAAGCCUCUAAUUGUAAGAUACAUUAUGAUAAUUUUUUUGUUCUUUAGGUUUUUGAAGAACUAGGCAGCAUUCGACCGCUACUCAAUGAUUCUAUCAAGUCUGUUUUACAGGAAAUAAACAGUCAAAAGGAUACUAACAUUGAUGCUAAGGUUUCAUUUGAAAUAUAUUCAUUUUGGACAAUAACUUUUACCAUGUAUAUGUUUCUAUUAUCAUUCAUUAAGUAUAUAGCCUAACAAAUUAUGCUUGUAGUUUACUGGCAGUUCUACAAAAAAUGAUGAGCAUUACAAAGAAAACAACAAUCAACACAAUUCGGACAGUAGUGCUAAACCAGUGUUGGCCAGCAGCAGUAAAACAUGUAUCUUAAUAAUUUUAACAUAAUUGUUAAAAUUAUAUUCUACAUUAUAUUAAUAUUAUAUCUACAUUAUAUCUACAUAUAGCCUAAAUUACCAACAAAUAAUCUACAUUAUAUUUCCAAUUAUUUUCUUAGAUACAGGACACAUGGAUGACAUUCAAAAUGAGGAGAAUGUUCCUGUAGGCGUUGACUUAUCUUCCCAAUUUCAAGGGGUAUUGGAUGAAGAAACUGCAUGUAUGAUUUAGUACAUUUUAUCAACAUAUUUCACAAUACAUAUUGCAUCUCAGCUACAGGAAAGCAUUUUAACAAAUUUACUAUAAUUAAACUAUAAUAUAUCUACAGUGUUGUUUCUGUUUACUACAAAUUAUCUACAAUUUUAUUAAGUUAUACACAUUUAUUGUAACAGAGAAGAAAACUAUGCAUGUGGACUCUCCAAAACAGGAUGCUAAAGUUGGCAUACAAGGAGAGCAUUUAAAUGAGGAGAAUGAGACUACGAAUUUGCAAUCUCCCAUUCAACAAGCAAACGUUAUACAACAAGGAGACGAUUGCCGUGAAGAUUUCAGUGGUAUUAUAUGUUACAAUAUAAUUGUAGGAAAAAAAUAACAGGUUUUAUAUAAGUUUCAAUUUUCCAAAAAGAACUGAUGCAACCAGUAUACAAUGUUGUUCUUUUGUUUUAAAUUUUGAAGGUGAACCAGCUGACUACAUCAAUGUAGGUGAUUCGGACAAUGAUUACAGGUCUGGAAAAAGGGAAGUAAUAUUUGAUGAUUUUGAGCUACCAGAGAACUUCUCUCAUAUUGUUAAGUGGCGAACUUAAUGAAGAUGAAACAACUCAUGUGCAUCAAGGAAGAACAAGGUAGCCUGGAAAGCAUGCCAGAUCCCCUUUCUCCCUUUUUACAGUUCUGGGGGAACCACUUUUGUUGGACCUCUUUUUUCUCAUCAAGUAUCCAUUUACUGGGGUUAUUGGCAACGAUGUUGAUCCUGACUUGUUGGAAGAAUUCAAUAAGUGGUUAUACUUUGGUACCAACAAGGUUUCAAAGAGGUUAGAUUAUAUAAUAUUUUCAUAUUAUCGAGUGCAUACAAUUUUUGGAUUUCUAGUUGAAACUACAUAAUAAUUGUAUUUGCUAUGUGUUUAAAUAGAAGGAAGGUGCCUUAUUCUUUAAAAGAUAACCAGCUCAAGCCGUGGUAUGAUCUUGGAGUGGAGAAAGUGGAUAAAAAGGAGUGAUUUUAUACUUUGGCACAUCCCGGGCAAGUCCUCAACGACACAGUACACACAUACCCUGGCAGAAUUUAAUGAUUAGCUGUAGUGUUCUGUUAUUUUAGAAUUCUAUAGUUUUUUUGUUUGAAAAUUGUAGUUAAAUUGUAUGAAGCACUGAGAAAUAAUGAAAUCUAUUUUUUUUUGCAGCACAUUAAUGUUAUUUUAUACUAUUUGAGGAAAAGAUGAAAGUAUGGUCCUCAAAACAAAACACGGUUUACAACCACUGACUGUAUGUUCAAGAAUAGAAUUGAACAAAUUUAUCAGAGGUACAUUAAUGCUCCUGCCAAUAAGAAGCCUGCUGUUGUCAAACCCCAAGAUGUCGUAUCAAAAUACAUAUUGGGGUACAGGUUACUUGCAAAUAUUGCAUGGGAUAAAGUUAAUUUUUUUAUUAUGCCCAUAAAUAUUGUGGAGAAAUUUCAUUGGUUGUUGGCUGUGUUUGACAUUACCGAUAGGGUUCUAUAUGUUUAUGAUUCUAUGGUCUCUUCACGAAAUCACAACUUUGUUAAAUCUGUUGUCAACGAGUUUGUUGUUAUGAUCCCCCUCUACUUGUCAUGCACCGGCUUCUAUGGAAAGCGUCCAGACAUCAACUACAAGAACACAAAGGCAUACAUCAAAAAAGGUGUUACUAACCAUCUUGACAUUAAGUGAUUGGUCGGUGAGAUACCCCAGCAAAAAGAGGGAUCAUUGUAUGAAAAAAUUGCUUUUCCUUCUAUCUAUUUAACAGAUUGUAUUUUACAUUGAAUGCUAAAUCUUUUCCCCUAUUUUUUUUUUGCAGUGACUGUGGUGUAUACGUGGCGGCAUUUGCAGAAUAUGUCAGCAUUGGAGAACUAGCGAUUUCAAAGGAAGACCUUUCUGAAAUUGAUCAACACCGUAGACGCUAUAAAGCGCUACUUUGGGAUUAUGCUAGAAAAAAGCAAGAGCUUGGUGCAAUUAUUGAAAGUGAGGUGACUGGAAGAUUAGCAAGAAGAAAAGGUGGACCAGCGGUGAACGAGAGAACACAAGUCCGGAAAAAAAAAAGAAUUAGUUUCCCUUUUCAGUAGAAAAAUUAUAGUUAAACUGUUUAGUUGUAGCUGGUUUGUAGUAAAGUUGUAGACAAAUUGUUAACUAAGAACAAGUCAGCUGCAAUUUAUUUGUAGCAGAUUUGUGCUACGGUUGUUUUACCUUUUGUUUUGUUAUUUUGUCCAGAAUUCUACUACUUAGAAUAGAAAACAUCUGUGGUUUUUUUUUGGUUGAAAGUUGAAAGUACUUGAUCUCGAUAUUGUUACUAUAUAAUUUUUUUUACAGUUUAACUACAAUUAUGUCUACAACUACUAUACAAAAAUACAUAAUCCAUUCAAUUUUAAGCAGUGUUGUUAGGAAAUACUGAAAACUAAUAAAUAAACUCAGUAUUUGAACAAAAUAACUACAAACCAAUUGCAUUAAGAGUUUGUCACGACCCAAAACCUAAAUCGUCGUGAUGGCACCUAUCGUGAUACUAGGCAAGCCGGCGUUUCCAAACACUUUCAGCAUUUAAUAGAAAUGAAUCAAGACAUUUAAAAUAACCGGAGUUUUUCAUAAAAAUGAGGUAAAACCUAAAGCAUAAGUGCGGAAAAAUAGCUCGACAUCGGGGUGUCACUAAGUACAUGAGCAUCUAUACCAGGAGCAGUCUAAUACAACAUCUAAGGAAUAAGAACUGAAAUGUGAAUAAGAUAAUGAAGGAGAGCCAAUGCAUGCGAACGCCAUGCAGCUACCUCGAUAGUCUCCGGAAUCAGCUGCUCAAAUAUCAAUACCCGCUACGACCGGGAAUACCUGGAUCUGCACACGAAGUACAGGGUAUAGCGUGAGUACAACCAACUCAGUAAGUAACAAAAUAAAGUAAGGAACUGAAGAAGGUAGUGACGAGUUAUACAAUNNNNNNNNNNNNNNNNNNNNNNNNNGACAGUUUAAGUCAAAUAAGUUUUACACAGUUAAAGUGCAGGUAAUCAAGAUAUAGAAUCUUUCAGAAAUUUCACAACAAUGACAGAUAGAAGCUAAGUGCAUCAACAAAUGAAAAACAAGUACAGCCUCUCAGGGCAACAGUCGCUCAACUCGUCACAACAACUCAAUCACUCGGCUCUCAGCCCUCAGUACUCACACUCAAUAGCUACAUGCGCUCACUGGGGGUGUGAAGACUAUGGAGGGGCUCCUUUCAGCCCAAGCGCUAUAUCGUUGAGGCAUGUAGCCCGACCCAAUCAUAUAAGUAUCCAUAAGGCUUGUUGCAGUGUGCAACCUGAUCCACAGUCCAUAAAUAGCCAUAAGGCUCGUUGUAGCGUGAAACCCAAUCCAUAUAGCCUCGCAUAGCUCACAGCUCGGCACUCAGGCCCCAUCUUAGUCACUAACCUUUCCAUCCCCCUCGUACUUUCAGAAAUCAAACAAAUCAGCCAAAAGAGAAAAUAACAAGUGUCAACAAGAAAACAAAAGGAAACGGAGAUAUGACUCGCAAGUAGCACUGUGACUGAGUUCAAGACAGCAAACAGAUGUUAAUCAACAAGUACUCAACCGCUGCGAGUCCCAACAAUUGUAACAUAUGGCCUAAGCAUGGUUUCUAACAUGAAUGGCAGCCAAAUUUCUAGAAGACAGAGGGAACAUGUAAUUAACAAUAAGCUAUUCGACUUUACUGUCUCACGGGACGGACCAAGUCCCAAUCCUCCACGGUGCACUCCCACACGCCUGUCACCUAGCAUGUGCGUCACCUCCAAAAUAAUCACAUCAUACCAAAAUCUGGAGUUUCAUACCCUCGAGACCAGAUUUAAAACUGUUACUUACCUCAAACCGCGCAAAAUCCUACUCCGCAAUGCCUUUGCCCCUCGAAUCAAUCUCCAAAUGCCCUGAAUCUAGACACAAGCAGUAUGACAUAAUUAAUAUAGGCUAAAAGGAUCAAUUCCACAAGAAAAACACAAAAUUAUAAGCCAAAAUCUGAAAUAGCCUCAAAUCGCCCCCGGGCCCACGUCUCGAAAUCCGACAAAAGUCACAAAAUAUGAACAUCCAUCCACCCAUGAAUCCAACCAUAUAAGAAUUACUCAAAUCCAACCUCAAAUCACCUUCCACAACCCGAAAUUUUAGCCUAUGAAGUUUCUACCAUUUUUCCCCAAAUAUUAAACUUAAAUCCCUAAUUAUAUGAUGAAAAUAGAAAUAGAUUCAUGAAAUAUUGUCCAAUCUGAGUAAGAAUCACUUACUCCAACAAUAUUCUUGAAGAAACCUCGAAAACUCGCCUCACAUCGAGCUCUCAAAGUCCCAAAAUCAAAAUGGGAAUCAAACCCUCGAAAUCCCAUUUUUUUCCCAGUUCACUGUCGCACCUGCGGAAUUUCCCUCGCCGAUGCGGAAGUGACGUAAGGGACAGGGUCCACAUCUGCGAGCAAGUGGUCGCACCUACGGACAAAGGUCUGCUUCUACGAUCUUCCCCUCCAUCUCACUUUCUGCUUCUGCAGAGCUUCGAGUCGUAAAUACCCUCGCACCUGCGACUCCAGGCCAUCUCCUCAAGUCCCGCUUCUGCGCUCCUUCAUCUGCAUGUGUGAGUACGCACCUACGGUCAACCCACCGCAUGUGCGAAACCACCAGAUAUCAGAAGGCUUCAGCCAUUUGCCUAUGUCCAAAUUCAAACCUUUAAGCAUCUGAAACACACCCGAGGCCCCCAAGACAUCAACCAAAUAUACCAACAAGUCCUAAAACACCAUACGAACUUAGUUGAGCCCUCAAAACAUGUCAAACAACAACAAAAACAUGAAUCACCCUCCAAUCCAAACUAAAUGAACUUCAAAAUUUCCAAAUUAUACAAACGAUGCUGAAUCAUACCAAACCACAUCCGAUUGACCUCAAAUUUUGCACACAAGUCAUAUUCAACAUUACGGACCUACUCCAUCUUCCGGAAUCGGAAUUCGACCCCGAUAUCAAAAAGUCAACCCCACGGUCAAGCUUCCCAAAAAUUUGACUUUCGCCAUUUCAAGCCUAAAUUAGCUACAGACCUCAGAUUCACAGUUCGGACACGUUCCUAAGUCCAAAAUCACCCAACGAAUCUAACAAAAUCGACGAAACUCCAUUCUAGAGUCGUCUCCACACAAUUCCGACUACGGUCAAACUCCUAAGACUUAAGCUUCCGUUUUAGGGACUAAAUGUCCCAAAACACUCUGAAACCAAAAACAAGACCUCUCAGCAAGUCACAUAAGCAGAAACAGAUACGGGAAAAGCAAUAAAUAGGGGAUCAGGGCUAAUACACUUAAAAUGACUGAUCGGGUCGUUACAUCCUCCUCCUCUUAAAACCAUCGUUCGUCCUCGAACGAGCAUAGAGACAUACCUGAAGUGGUGAAAAGAUGAGUAUAAUGGCUGCGCAUAUCAUUCUCGGUCUCCCAAGUCGCCUGCUCGACUGGCUGACCCCUCCACUGAACCUUCACAGAAGCAAUAUUCUUUGACCUCAGCUUUCGAACCUGCCUCUCUAAGAUCGCCACCAGCUUCUCAACAUAAGAUAAAUCCUUGUCCAACUAGACUGAGCCGAAAUCCAACACGUGAGAUGGAGCACCGUGAUACUUCCGGAGCAUAGAAACAUGGAAUACUUGAUGAACUCAUGUUUGACUGGGAGGCAAGGCAAGCUCAUAAGCAACCUCUUCAAUACGUCGCAAUACCUCAAAUGGACCGAUAAACCUUGGGCUCAGCUUGCCCUUUUUUGAACCUCAUAACACCCUUCAUGGGUAACACCCGGAGCAAGACCCGCUCUCCAACCAUGAAUGCAACAUCGUGAACCUUCCGAUCUGCAUAACUCUUCUGUCUGGACUAGGCUGUGCGUAGUCUAUCCUGAAUCACCUUAACCUUCUCUAGAGCAUCCUGAACCAAGUCUAUACCCAAUAAUCUAGCCUCGCCCGUCUCGAACCAGCCCACUGGAGACCUACACCGCCUUUCCAUACAGAUCCUCAUACGGUGCCAUCUGUAUGCUCGACUGAUAACUGUUGUUGUAGGCAAACUCCACUAGUGGCAAGAACUGAUCCCACAAACCCCCAAACUCCAUCACACAUGCAUGGAGCAUAUCCUCUAAUAUCUGAAUAGUGCGCUCGGACUGUCCGUCCGUCUGAGGGUGAAAUGUUAUGCUCAACUCCACUCGAGUACCCAACUCAUACUGUACGGCCCUCCAGAACUGUAAUGUAAAUUAUGUACCCCGGUCAGAGAUGAUAGAUACCGACAUGCCACGAAGCCUGACGAUCUCGCUGAUAUACACUCGAGCCAGCUGCUCGAAAGAAUAGGUAGUCAUCACAAGAAUGAAAUGAGCUGACUUGGUAAGCCGGUCCAUAAUCACCCAAACUGCAUCAAACUUCUGCUGAGUCCGUGGAAGCCCAACAAUGAAAUCUAUAGUGAUCUGCUCCCAUUUCUACUCCGAAAUCUCUAACUUUUGAAGCAACCCACCUGGUCGUUGAUGCUCAUACUUCACCUGCUGGUAAUUUAGGCACCGAGCUACAUACUCCAUUAUGUCCUUCUUUAUUCUCCUUCACCAGUAAUGUUGUCUCAAGUCCUGAUACAUCUUUGCAGCACCCGGAUGAAUAGAACACCGUGAACUGUGAGCCUCCUAGAGAAUCAACUCAUGAAACCCAUAUACAUUGGGCACACAUAGCCUGCCCUGCAUCCUUAAUGCACCAUCAUCCCCAAUAGUGACAUUCUUAGCAUCACCGUGUUGGACAGUGUCCUUAAGGACAAGCAGAUGGGGGUCAUCAUACUGACGCUCCCUGAUACGACAAUAAAGAGAAGACCGAGAGAACACACAAGCCAAUACUCGACUCGGCUCAGAGAUAUCCAAUCUAACAAACUGGUUGGCUAAGGCCUGAACAUUUAAUGCCAAUGGCCUCUCUGCUGCUGGAAGAUAUGCUAAGCUCCCCAAACUCUCCGCCCGGCGACUCAAGGCAUCAGCCACCACAUUGGCCUUCCCGAGAUGGUACAAAAUGGUGAUAUCAUAGUCCUUAAGAAGCUCCAGCCACCUCCGCUGAUGCAAGUUAAGAUCCUUUUGUUUGAAUAGAUGCUGCAAACUCUGAUGAUCAGUGUAAAUCUCACAAUGGACCACGUACAAAUAGUGCCGGCAAAUCUUCAAGGUGUAAAUAAUAGCUAUUAACUCAAGGUCAUGGACAGGAUAGUUCUUCUCAUGGGGCUUUAACUGGCGCGAAGCAUAAGCAAUCACUCUACCCUCCUACAUCAGAACACACCCAAUACUGAUCCGCGAGGCAUCACAAUACACUGUGUAAGAACCAGAAGCUGAUGAUAGAACUAAAACUGGAGUCAUGGUCAAAGAAGUCUUGAGCUUCUAAAAGCUCUCCUUGCACUCCUCCGACCACCUGAAAGGAGCACCCUUUUGGGUCAGUUUAGUCAAGGGCGAUGCGAUAGAUGAGAAGCCCUCCACAAAACAACGGUAAUAACCAGCCAAACCAAGCAAACUCUGAAUCUUCGUGGCUGAGGACGGUCUGGGCCAACUCUGAAACGCCUCUAUCUUCUUCGGGUCUACCUGAAUACCCUUACUGGACACCACAUGUCCCAAGAACGCCACUGAACUAAGCCAAAACUCACACUUGGAGAACUUUGCAUAAAGAUUCUCCUCCCUCAACCGCUAUAACACAAUCCUCAUAUGCUGGGCAUGCUCCUCCUGGCUACGAGAGUACAUCAGGAUGUCGUCAAUGAAUACAAUAACGAACAAGUCAAGAUAAAGCUGAAACACACUGUUCAUCAGAUGCAUGAACGUUGUUGGGGUGUUGGUCAGCCCAAAAGACAUCACAAAGAACUCAUAAUGGCCAUAUCGGGUCCUGAAAGCUGUCUUAAGAAUAUCUGAGUCCCAAAUCUUCAGCUGGUGAUAUCCUGACCUCAAAUCAAUCUUGGAAACACCAUCACUCCCUGAAGCUGGUCAAACAAAUCAUCAAUACGCAGCAAUGGAUACCUAAUCUUAAUUGUGACCCUGUUCAACUGCCUGUAAUCAAUGCACAUUCUCAUAGUACCAUUCUUCUUCUUUACAAAUAGAACUGGUGCACCCCAAGGUGACACACUAGGCUGGAUAAACCCCUUAUCAAGGAGUUCCUGAAGUUGCUCCUUCAAUUCCUUCAACUCCGUUGGUGCCAUACAAUACGGUGGAAUAGAAAUGGGCUGAGUGUCCGAUACCAAAUCAAUACCGAAAUCAAUAUCCCUAUCGGGCGGCAUACCCGGUAGGUCUACAGAAAACACAUUCGGGAAAUCUCGCACCAUCAGAACAAAAUCAAUAGUAGGGGUCUCUGCACUAACAUCCCUCACAAAUGCCGGAUAAGAUAAACAACCCUUCUUAACCAUCCGAUGAGCCUUCAAGUAUGAAAUCACACUACUGGGAACAUGUUCUAUAGAUCUGCUCCACUCAACCCUCGGCAACCCCGGCAUCGCCAACGUCAUAGUCUUAGCGUAACAAUCUAGAACAUCAUGACAUGGAGACAACCAAUCCAUACCCAAUAUCACGUCAAAAUCGACCAUACUAAGCAACAAGAGAUUUACUCUAGUCUCUAGACUCCCAAUAAUCACCACACAUGACCGAUAUAUAUGGUCCACAAUGACAGUAUCGCCCACUGGCGUAGACACAUGAACAGGUAAAACUAGAGACUCACGUGGCAUAUCCAGAUAAUGAGCGAAAUACGAGGACACAUAUGAAUAAGUAGAACCAGGGUCAAAUAAUAAAGAGGCAUCUCUAUGGAAAACUGAGACAAUACCUGUAAUCACAGCAUCCGAAGCAAUGACAUCUGGUCUGGUAGGAAGAGCAUAGAAAUGGGCCUGGCCUCCCCUGAUCGGGUGGCCCCUAGCUGACUGGGCUCCACCCCGAGCUGGCUGAGCGGGUGGUGAAGAAACUGGUGUUGAUGUUAUAGACUGGCUCAUCUGCUAAGCUGGACCUCCCACUAGGCGGGGGCAUUGCCUCCUCAUGUGACCAAACUCUCCACACUCAUAGAAACUCCCCAGUGCUGGUUCUCGGGACUGAAGGGAGCCCGGGGCACCGGGAUAACUGGUAGAAGGACCUGGCAUAGAUGAGCCCUGACCCGAUGGAGCACGGGAUGAACUCUAAGCUGGGAGAGCACUGAGAGAUGAAUGGCCCUGCUGAUAACUGUGUAAACCAUGGCCAGAUGAUGCACCACGGUGAACUGGGCGAGCCGUCUGAGCAUGUCUAAAAGGACGACCUUUACCGUGGUGGAACUGACCAUCAGAAAGAACACUGCUAAAUCCACCCUGACCACGAGGCCUCUUAACCUCCCUCUCGACCCGCUCCUGGCUGUGAACCAUCUCAAUCUGACGAGAAAUGUUGACAACCUUAUCAAAGGUAGCACGAGACACUCUCUCUCUAGUCAUAAGCAAUCGUAGCUGAAAAGUGAGGCCAUAUAUGAACCUUCUAAUCCUCUCUCUGUCUGUAGGAACCAACCAGAUAGCAUGAUGGGCCAACUAUGAAAAUCUUAUCUCAUACUGCAUCACGGAUAUAUCACCCUGACGAAGCUGCUCGAACUGCCUGCGCAGCUCCUCUCUACGGGACUGUGGCACGAAAUUCUCCAGGAAUAGACAGGAGAAUUGUUGCCAUGUAAAGGGUGAUGCGCCAACCGGCCUACGCCUCUCGUAAGCCUCCCACCAAUUGAAGGUAGCCCUAGAAAACUAAAAAGUAGUGAACGAGACCCUACUGGCCUCUAGAAUACCUGUUGUACGGAGUAUCCUCUAACACCUGUCCAAGAAGCCUUGUGCAUCCUAUCCCUCGGCACCACUGAAAGAUAGAGGCUGGAGUCUCCCAAACCUCUCCAAUCGAUACUGCUCAUCAUCAGGCAUGACAGGAACCACAUAGUCCUGAGCAGCUGCAACUCGUUGGGCUGGUGGUGCCCCCAGUGUCUGUAAUCCCUGUACCACCUGCUCUAGUGUGUGCGCGCGGCGGGAGUUUGAGAACCUCUCCCGGCCGGAGCAGAGACUGCCUGAGCAAAACUGGUACACGCGGUCAGGAUCUGAGCUAAGGCCUACUGAAGGCCUGGAAUCAUAAUAGGCACAGGUGGUGCCUGAGCCGGUCCCAUAGGCUCAUCCACAACUGGAGUCUGCUCCUGAACUGGGGCAACUGGCGGAUUUGCAGGUGCUGUCCUAGCUGCGGUACGAGCUACACCUCUGCCCCUACCGCGACCUCGGCCUCUCGUAGCCCUGACUGGUGGUACUAGUGGCUGUCUAUCCUGCCCCAAAGUACACGUCCUCACCAUCUGUGAGAGAAUUAGAACGACAGAAAUUUAGUUACCAGAAUCAAAAGAUUCGCAAGACAAAAAUUCAAGAAUGUGAAAUUUUCUAAGGGUUCGGCAGCCUCUCGAAGAUAAGUACAGACGUCUCUGUACCGAUCCGCAAGACUCUACUAAACCUGCUCAUGACUCGUGAGACCUAUGUAACCUAGGCUCUGAUACCAACUUGUCAUGACCCAAAACCUAACACAUCGUGAUGGCGCCUAUCGUGAUACUAGGAAAGCCGAUCUUUCCAAACACUUUCAACAUUUAACAGAAAUGAAUCAAGAUAUUUAAAAUAACCGGAGUUUUUCAUAAAAAUGGCGUAAAACCCAAAGUAUAAGUGCGGAAAAAUAGCCCGACAUCGGGGUGUCACUGAGGACAUGAGCAUCUAUAUCAGGAGCAGUCGAAUACAAUAUCUAAGGAAUAAGAACUGAAAUGCAAAUAAGAUAAUGAAGGAGAGCCAAGGCCUACGAACACUAUGCAGCGACCUCGAUAGUCUCCGAAAUCAGCUGCUCAAAUAUCAACACCUGCUACGACCGGGAACACCUGGAACUGCACAUGAAGUGCAGGGUGUAGCGUGAGUAUAAACAACUCAGUAAGUAACAAAAAUAAAUAAGGAAUUGAGAAGGUAGUGACGAGCUGUACAAAUACAAUUCAUUUUUAAUAAUUUCAGCAAAGAAUAGACAUGCUUUCAAAUCCGACAGUUUAAGUCAAAUCAGUUUUACACAGUUAAAGUGUAGGUAAUCAGGAUAUAGAAUCUUUCAGAAAUUUCACAACAACGAUAGAUAGUAGCUAAGUGCAUCAACAAAUGAAAAACAAGUACAGUCUCUCAGGGCAGCAGUCACUCAACUCGUCACAACAACUCAAUCACUCGGCUCUCAGCCCUCAGUACUCACACUCAAUAGGUACAUGCGCUCACUGGGGGUGUGCAGACUACGGAGGGGCUCCUUUCAGCCCAAGCAUUAUAUCGUUACGGCGUGCAGCCCGACCCAAUCAUAUAAGUAUCCAUAAGGCUCGUUACGGCGUGCAACCCGAUCCAAAGUCCAUAAAUAGCCAUAAGGCUAGUUGUAGCGUGAAACCCGAUCCAUAUACCCUCACAUAGCUCAUAGCUCGGCACUCAGGCCCUAUCUCAGUCACUAACCUUUCCAGCCCUCUCGGGCUUUCGGAAAUCAUACAAAUCAGCCAAAAGAGAUAAUAAUAAGUGUCAACAAGAAAACAAAAGGAAACGAAGAUAUGACUCGCAAGUAGCACUGUGACUGAGUUCAAGACAGCAAAUAGCAGUUAAUCAACUAGUACUCGAUCGUUGUGGGUCCCAACAGUGGUAACAUAUGGCCUAAGCAUGGUUUUUAACAUGAAUGGUAGCCAAAUUUCUAGAAGACAGAGGGAACAUGUAAUUAACAAUAAGCUAUUCGACUUUACAGUCUCACAUGACAUACCAAGUCCCAAUCCCACACGGUGCACGCCCACACGCCCGUCACCUAGCAUGUGCGUCAGCUCCAAAAUAAUCACAUCAUACCAAAAUCUGGGGUUUCAUACCCUCAGGACCAGAUUUAAAACUGUUACUUACCUCAAAUCGCACAAAAUCCUACUCCGCAAUGCCUUUGCCCCUCGAAUCAAUCUCCAAAUGCCCCAAAUCUAGCCACAAGUAGUAUGACAUAAUUAAUAUAGGAUAAAAGGAUCAAUUCCACAAGAAAAACAUGAAAUUAUAAGCCAAAAUCUGAAAUACGCUCAAACCAGCCCCCAGGCCCACAUAUCGAAAUCCGACAAAAGUCACAAAAUGUGAACACCCAUCCACUCACGAGUCCAACCAUACAAGAAUUACUCGAAUCCAACCUCAAAUCAGCUUCCAAAACUUGAAAUUUUAGCCUAUGAAGUUUCUACUAUUUUUCCCCAAAUUUACAACUCAAAUCCAUAAUUAGAUGAAGAAAAUAGCAAUAGAUUCAUUAAAUAUAGUCCAAUCCGAGUUAGAAUCACUUACCCCAACAAUAUUCUUGAAGAAACCUCAAAACAUCGCCUCACACCGAGCUCUCAAAGUCCCAAAAUCGAAAUAGGAAUCAAACCCUCGAAAUCCCAUUUUCUGCCCAGUUCUUCCGCAUCAGCGGACCCCUUGUCGCACCUUCAACGCCGCACCAGCGGAAUUUCCCUCGCAGGUGCGGAAGUUACUUAAGGUAUUGGGUCCGCAUCUGCGAGCAAGUGGCCGCACCUGCAUGUGCACACCUGCGGACAAAAGUCUGUUUCUGCGAUCUUCCCCUCCAUCUCAUUCUCCGCAUCUGCGGAUCUUUGAGCGCAUAUGUGGGAUCGCAGAUGCAUAAAUGCCCGCGCACCUGCGACUCCUGGCCAUCUCCUCAACUCCCGCUUCUGCGCUCCUUCAUCCGCACGUGCGAGUACGCACCUGCGGUCACCCCACUGCAUGUGCAAAACCACCAGAUAUCAGAAGGCUUCAGCCAUUUGCCUAAGUCCAAAUUCAAACCGUUAAGCAUCCGAAACACACCCGAGGCCCCCGGGACCUCAACCAAAUAUACCAACAAGUCCUAAAAUACCAUACAAACUUAGUCGAGCCCUCAAAACAUGUCAAACAACAACAAAAACACAAAUCACCCUCCAAUCCAAACUUAAUAAACUUCGAAAUUUCUAAAUUCUAUAAACGAUGUCAAAUCAUACCAAACCACGUCUGAUUGACCUUAAAUUUUGCACACAAGUCAUAUUCAACAUUACGAACCUACUCCAACUUCCGUAAUCAGAAUCUGAUCCCGAUAUCAAAAGUCAAUCCCCCGGUCAAACUUUUCAAAAAUUUAACUUUCGUCAUUUCAAACCUAAAUUAGCUACAGACCUCAGAUUCACCGUCCGGACACGUUCCUAAGUCCAAAAUACCCAACUAAGCUAACAAAACCGACAGAACUCCAUUCCAGAGUCGUCUUCAUACAAUUCUGACUACGAUCAAACUCCUAAGACUUAAACUUCCGUUGUAGGGACUAAGUGUCCCAAAACACUCUGAAACCAAAAACAAGACCUCCCGGUAAGUCAUAUAAGUAAAAACAGAUACGGAAAAAGUAUUAAAUAGGGGAUCAGGGCUAAUACACUCAAAAUGACCGGCCAUGUCGUUACAGAGUUGAAAUCUUUUUAUCAAACAUUUCAUUAUAGGAGACAGUCUUUAUUCAAAUUAGCAACACAAUUACACCUCAACUAUAAUUUUCCAGAAUAGAAUAAAUACAACUCCAUAUGUCUUAAAGGACAUAUUAUCAUCAACAAUACUUAGGGGGAAAAAAUAUCUUGUGACUGUAUCAAUUUUUAUUUCCUUUUGAGAGCAUUCCUACAAGAUCUUUUGUUAUGCCCUUCUAGUCCGCAGUUGCCACAUGAAACCUUGUACUUCUUUGAAUUUACUUCAUCAUAUGGUUUGUAUAUUUAUUUUUGAGGUCUCCCUGGCUGUGUUUUCCCAGUAGGUGUCAUUACAACUUCUUCAGCUAUAUGUUGUGGCACAUUCUAUUUGCUUUCGCCAAGCAACGGGUCUACUGGUAUUUCAUAAGUCUGCAAAAGGCUCUCCCUCGUGUAAUAAGUAGAACAAUAAUUUUCAUAAGACUCGUUCCUAUGCCUCAAAGUCGCCAAAGCAUGUGCACAAGGAAGUUCAUCAAGCUAGAAUUGUCCACAACUACAUCUCUUAUUUUGAAGGCAAACAAUGAAGCGCUUCACACCAUCUAUCACAGUAUGGAUGUGAUCUGUGGAAUCCCUCACCUACAAUUUCAUUACAAACACACAAUAAGUUGUCAGCAACAGAUACAAAAAUAAAAUAAAUACAAUUAUACAAUAAUUUUUCUAUAAUUAAUAAUAUAUAUUUAGUUUGAUGGAAUCAAUGAUCUGAUGUUACUGGCUAUAGCUUACUCUCAUCUUCUGUGAUAAUAUCUUGUUGUCCUCCAACUCUUUGUUGUAUUAUUUUCAAAGGUAUGUGAACGUACCCUUUGUAUUCAAUAACUUUUCAUUAGUCCAACGUUCAAGAACAGUCCUUAUGUACUCUAAUUGUUCUACUACGGGCAGCUCUCUUGCAUCUUUUGUUACCGCAUUCAAUGACUCUACAAUGUUUGAUGUCAUCGUCCACGUUUUGUUCACCGUAGCAUGUACCCGAGACCAUCUGUGAUAGCCAAUAUUGUAUAGGUAUGCUUUAACACGCGUGUCAAUCUCUUCAAUCUUUGACAUUCUUUCAUUAAAUUCAUCAAGAGUGUAUGAUCGUGUCAUGACAAAGUACAAUUCGCUUAACUUUAGAUGACCCUUCUUGAACUUUGACCUUACAUUUGUCCAAAUAUGCCACAUGCAAGCAUAAUAUGGCAUGCCGGUAUAAAUAGUAGAUGUUGCCUUCAAGAUACUCUCAUUCUGGUCCGAAACAACACACAUAUUUGGUUUUUCACCAUAUGCAUGUUUGAAUUGCUCAGAAACCACCUCCAUGAUGCGUCAUUUUCUGAAUCAACAACAGUGUAUGUCAGUGGUAAUAUGCUACCUAUCACACAGGUGUCAAAAAGAAAUUCAAUUUCUGUAAUAAAACUUGAGAGUAUAAAAAACACAUACUGAAAAAUAACUUUAUAACAAUAUUUCUACAAUUAAUCUACAAUACCUGUUGCAUCCAUUGUGCUAGCUAUUAACAUAAUUUCCCUAUAUACCGAUUUCAAGAAGGUUCCAUCAACUACUACAACUGGCCUACAAUACUCCCAACCAUUGAUGGACGUACUAAGUGCAACAAAUGUGUACAAGAAAUAGUCAUCUUCAGUCUUCUAUAAUUUCACUACCGACCCCGGAUAAGUCUUCUCCAGAAUAUACAAAUAAUUCGGCAAGCGACUGUAGGAAUCAGCAGGAUGACCUCUCAAAAAUUCCAAAGCCUUUUCCUUUAUUCUCCAAGCUUGCAUGUAUGUUAAGUUCACACCAUGAUCCGACAAUAUAUCAGUUUGCAUAUAUUUUGGUGUAUAUAUUGUCUUAGGAUCCGCAUGUUUUGGUAUCACCAUGCUGCUAACUACCAUGGCAGUAGGUUUGCGUUGUAUGUAUGUGUUGUCCAUCAAAGAGCAUGUGUGCAAGCUGUUGAAUUUUGGAACCUUGAACAAUGCUAAUUCGUUUGCUGGUGGACUUAAAGUGCCAUGUACAAUUGUCCCCAACACAUACGAGGCAGUAGCUACAGAAUAAAAAUAAUUCAAAAAUAUUAUGAAAAAUGUAGCUACAAAAUACGAGGCUGUUUAAGCACAAAAAUCUUAUAUUAAACAAUAUAAACUACAGAUUAUACAAAAAUAUGAAUUUGACAAAUGAAAUGUUCCUACUUUCUUGCACCAGACCUUUUCACCCUAAAUUAAAAACUAUUCAUGACAGAAUAGUGCUUCAUUGCACUGACAAUUAUUUGCUUGUCUUGGUAAACUUGGCCUACUUCAAUAACAUUUGGCGUAUGUUCUGUUAUGAUGAUACUUUCAUAUUCCACAAUUGUCGGAGAUGUUGGCCUAUCAAUCAACUUUAUUGUUCCUGAUACUUCUCUAAUUGUGAUACAAUUGCUUGACAAUUGUACCACGUUAGACAUAUGAUAAUCAGAUGAACCUGCACUCAAUUAAAAGUAUCUAUAAUUCAGACCUCUGUAUAUUUAUGUGUUCAGUAUUUGACAGAAUACUUUAAGAGACAUAAAAGUUGAACUACAUGUAUUAUGUAGUAUUAUUGUAGAUAAGUUAUAGUAAAAUUAUAGAACACAUGAAAUUGACAAAACAUCAGCACUGAAAAAAUAGAGCAAACCUGCAAUUGUGCUCGAAUUAGAGAUACUGCAUUCCAAAUCGAAACCAUGCAUUGUUAUACACAGCGGAUACAUUCCGAAGUUUUUGUUUUCCUUUUUCGUCUCCAUAUAUACUCGAACUCCCAUAUCGUUCCAAAUUUUUAUUGGAGGACAACGUUCCUUGACAGUGUAUUUGAUUUCGAUGAUUUUUGCGGAGGUAUCGAUUAUUAGAUACUAUCCCAGUGACUAUUUAGCUGAAACAUAAUCGCUAAUUUUGAUAUUAUAUCGUGAAAUUCAAUAAACUUGUAGCUAAUUGUUUGCAAAAAAAAAUUUUAAAACCUUCGUUUAUGGAAACCAGAGAAAACCAGAUAAUAGAACUUGAUAAUGGUGCGAUGAUAAUCAGAGAAAAUCGGCAUAAUAACAGGAUUCUACAAAUACAUUGGCUUGAUUAAAGUGCGAUGAUUGCAUCAGUAAAAUCUCUGAAGAAAUAUACGCGAUCCCAAAAUCUCACGUCUAAAUAAGGAAGACUACCGCAGAAAGGAUUCUAGUUUAAAUAAAUGUAUAUAUUUUGUAGAUAAAACUUAUUUAGGUCAGGUAAAUAACUAAACGUGGACGUUUUUGAUAAUAAAGUUUCAAAUAGUAUAUAAGAACGAAAAAAUCUCUUAUUAAUACACCAUAUUCAGCAUUAUUCUUAUGCACCCUACCAAACAACCCCUUAGUAUUGAGAGUGUGUUUCACUUGCAAUUCCUUGAGAAGGGUUUUAGUUUCUCGGAAACAGUCUCUCUGCCCUUCCAGGGUAGGAGUAAGGCUGCGUACAUUCUAUUCUCUCUAGACCUCACUUGUGAAAUUACAUUGGGUUGUUAUUGUUGUUGUUGGGUUUUAGUUGUUUCUUUAAAUAUUUUUUCUCUUCUCAAUUUUUCUUUUAAAUUUUGAUUUUUAAAUCUUGUUUUUACAUUUGGUUCUGAUAUUUUAAAACUCAUCACAAUUCCUUUAAUUUGUUUCAAAUUACUGCUCUACAAGUUUCAAAAUAAUUGUCAUUUCCCGAGUUUUGGUUCAAAUUACUGCUCUUUAAAUUUGUUUAUAUUUGGUUCUGAUAUACUCUGGCUUUGUUUCUAUAUAAUUAAAUGUUAUUUUUAUAGAAGUCUAUUAAUAUCCCUGAUUCAACUUUGGUCAAAUUAACCUUUAAUAAGUGAAAAGGGACUAACAAAUAGGGAUAGAAGAAGUAAUUUAUUAGUGUUUUCAUUUUCUUUCUUUUUAAAAGCAGACCUUGAGUGAAUGAAAUUGAUAAUAAUAUAUUGAACUCUCUCCUUGCCUAUUCUCCGUUUUCUUUACAUUGUUUUGACUGUUUUCUUUCCUUUUCUAAUCUCUAUUUUUUGUUAUUUUACAUUUCUAAACACAGUUAUGACUCUUUGCCAUGAUUAUGAAGUGAUUUAUUCUAAUAUCUAAAGUUCUCUUGAAUUUUGCUUACAAGCUAAGUUACUCUGAAACAUGGUUUCUAUUAGGGACAUUCUCUUGUUUCUUUCCUAUUUGGGAUAAUUUGAUUUAGAAAAUAAGCUCUAGUGUUUGACUAAUAUAUAAAAAGGGCUUGCUAAUGAUAUCUAAGAUUGUUAUUGUAAUUAGUGAUUGAAAAGAGAAGGGAAGCAAGUUUUAGUUUUAAAUUAAAACAUGACUAUUUUAAUCAAUUGCUUUAACAGAUAUUUGAGUUUUGAGGCAUUAUGAGUACCUGUUUUACACCUCCAAGAGGCAUUAUGUCCCCGCAAAUUUUAUUUUCCCAGCGAAAAUCACAUUAGCACCGCUAAUCUCAAAUAUCUGCUAGUAAGUGGUAAUAGUAUUUAAUUGUGACUUCCCAUUUAAAUUUUGACACCUGAAUUGAAUAGAAUCAUGAAAUCUACUACUACACUACGACUGAGGUUUACAUUAGUCUUUGGUAGUAGGACUAUAGCUUAGUAUCUCGCUAGCUUCCAAUUUAUAUAAAAUGUAGGCAAUAGAGGUUAGUAUAUCUUGUGUUUUCUCACAUAAAUGAUUACUUUUGCAUCGACUCUCUAUCAUUGGAUAAUCGAAAUAUGUUAAUCUAUAUUGCCCUUUGUUAUAGUUAAAAGAAAAUAUGUAACGCAUUCACGGGUGUGAGUCAAUGAAGUUGAAAUGCACCAUAAAGACAGAGUUCAAACCCCAUUAGUAAAUGAAAAAAAGAAGGCGACAACUAGGGGGUAUAUGAGUCGGAUUGGUUCGGAUUUUCUAAUUUAUAAAUCAAACUAAUUGUAUCGGGUUAUUAAAUCCAAAUACCAAACCAAACCAAUAAAAGUCGGAUUUUUUAAUCUCGGAUUUUUCGGAUUUUUUUUCUUCAGUCUUCAUAGCACAAAACGUAAAAUUUAUGCUCCACAUAUUUCUUUAAUCCUAGUAAGACAGAUAUUUAAAAACCGACCGAAUCAUACCGUACCGAACCGAUUUUCAGGUUUCUUUUAAUAAAAUUGUAGGCUUUUAUUUAAAUCUAUAAUCGUACCAAUAGUUAGGGUUUUUAUUUUGUAAAAAUAAACCAAAAAAAUACCGAACCGCACCGAAUAAAUUUACAUGUAGAAAAUAUAUUUAUAUAUUAAGUUUAAAAAUAAUAAAACAUUGGCCUUGGAAUUGUAAAAAUGGUUACAAGUCAACCAGUAAUUAAACUCAAAAUCUUAAUUUUCAAAUCUAUUAUGCUACUCAUAUUGACACUAAAUUAUUUCCAACAUAUUCACUAGCAAGACACAAGGUAUUCUAGUGAUUAUGUGUCGCAAACUGCAAUACCUUUCGUAUGAUUUAGAUUUAUCUUGUUGAGUGUUGAAUUUUUCAUAGAUUUUAUUCUUGAGUCCCAACUUGGCUAAUAUCUUUUUAUUCGUGUGAUUUAUAUUUUCUUUAUCUUUGCUUAGUUUCUUUUAUGCUGCUGUAGAAUAGUUGAUGGAUCUAUACUCUGGUCAUCUUUCAUGUUUUCUUAAUUCAUCACCUUUUAAGCAGUAAAAAUGUCUAGAGAGUUUUACGAAUUCCUAUAAAUGUACGUAUGUUAUUGCAUUUUACUUUCUACUAGUGUCUUUUACAUGAUAUUUAAAAAAAAAUAUCGAAAAUUAACUGAAUCGUACCGAUAUCGAAGGGAAACCGAUAUGAUUGGGACGGUUUUAAAAAGUCAAAUUUUGGCUAUGUAUAAUAAAAUAAUCGAAAAAUUAAUAUAAUACAAAUUUUAUAACAUAACCGAUCGAACCGAACCAUUGAUAGUUCAAUCCACAUUAGUAAAUGACAAAAAGAAGGCGACAGGGCCUAAGUAGAUCGGGACAAGUUGUACCUUCAAAUUGAAAAUAAGUGACUAAUUGUUUAAUCACCACGAUUAUAAAAUAUGAAUACCAUCAGAAAGGUAGAAGGCUAGACGUGUGAUCUAAUGGUCAAUGAGAUGGGUUGAGACGACAAAAAUAUUACUAGUAGUUAAAUUCUUACUAUUUUUCUAAGUUGAGUUAUAUAUUUCGGUGGACAAAGUUAUCUGAUAACUAUGCUAGAGGGAAAUAACUAUUACCCAAUGAAUAAUCGAGGUGCAUCCAAAUUAUCGUACCUUAUCAACCAAAAAAAAAUAGAAAUGACUAAAAUCACAUAGGCAAGACAACUUGCAUUUAAUUUCUAGCAUGUUUGACCAUGCUUCUUUUAGGUUUUUUUUUUUUUGGGGCCAAAAACAUUUUUUUCAAAAGUUAAAGUGUCUAACCAAGCUUUUAGAAGGAAACAAAGUAUUUCUGAGCAGAAGCAGAAACAAUAAUUUCUCCCCAAAAAUAUUUUUUUGAAAGGCACUUUUGAAAAAAUUAUACCUAAAAAUGCUUUUUAAAAGUUUGGCUAAAAGCCCUUUUGGCCAAGCUGCCAAAAAAUGCUCAUUUUGAAAAGUGCUUUUGUUUCAAAGUGCUUGUUGGAAAAGUACUUUUGCAAAAUAACAUUUUGUGCUUGGUCAAUUCGUUUGGCCAAUCUUUAAAAAAAUACUUUUAACCAUCAAAUUGCGAAAAAAGACAGUAAAGGCUUAAUUUUGCGAUUAGUAUUAUUUAGAAAAAGAAAAUAAACUUAAACAUUUAUUAUAAUUUUUUUAAUGUAAAAUAUAAAACGUAAAGCAAAAAUAUAAAUUAAAAAUUCCAGUCAAUAUAAAAUAUUGUUAUUCCAAAGUAAUAACAUUGCGUAUUUGUUAUUACUUAUCGUGUACAUGAUAAUUUAAAUACGUCAAAAUACAUCAUUGAAUAUAAAUUUAAAAUCCACUCUUAAGAAUAGGAGAAAGUGAAUAAAAAUAUAAUUAAAAUAAAAAAAGAAAUGUAUAGUAGAAAUAAAAGGAAUACAAAAAAAAAUUAAAUUAAUGAGGGAUAAUUUGAAAAUAUAAAUUUAUUGUAAGAUUAUUUUUGUCUUGAAUAAAUUAAUUUUCUGCUUCUACUUCUACUUCUUGGAAGAAGGUAGAAAUUGUAACUUCUCCCUAAAAGCAGAAAAACUAUUUCUCAUGUUGCUCAAAAGUACUAUUUAAUUUUGGCCAAACACUAUAUUUUUCAAAAAGUACUUUUUUUGACAAAAAAAAUACUUUUGGCGUCCUAGAAGCUUGGCCAAACAGACUCUAAAUAUUGAUUCUCAUUAAAAAUAAUUUUUUGAAAAAUACUUUUCAAAAUAAGCUAAUUUUAGUAGCACGACCGAACAUGCUAGAACAUCUAGUCCCUCUACUUCAUGCAGCUCUUUUGACGGGUACGCUAAAAGUAGUAGGUUCCAUUAAUCCUUGUUGUUUCCACCAUUUCAGCAAAUGUACACUUCCCUGAUGUUGAAGCUCAGUGUACUCUUAUUUUCUUUUCUGUUUUACUUUUCUCCCUCCAGAUAUAACUCAAUUGCAUAAUUCUCCAUCUCUAAAACUUUCCAGUGCCCGCUAAUUUAAUCCUAAAUAGUAUUCACACAGUUCAUAGUUAACAGAAAUAACCUCCAAGGUCUAAUAACUCUAAGAAAAAUGUGAAGAACAAAGGAACACAGUGGCGAAUGGUAAAGUGGAGAAUAGAAAGAAGAGAAAGGAAAGAGAUAUCUGAAAAGAAGAUCAAGGGAAACAAACAGCACUUAGCUUGGGGAAGAGGAUAUCAAGUAAACAGAAAUAUGGCUGGUGAAGGUUGGACUCGGUAAAUUCAUCUUUCUCGGCCAUUAAAGCACAGAAGAUACCCUGUUAGAUAUGAUAUAAGCUGGUUUAUCGCGUGAAAUCUAUUUCAGUAGGGCAUAUGAUGUUGAUGGCCCAAGGUAGAGCGCUCAAUAUGGCAAUCCAUAAUAUAACUGCUGAUGGCAUCUAAUAAGCUCAACAUUAAGGAACGGCCUUGAAUAUGCAAUACAUGCUCACCCUAUUCACAGAAAUAUAAACCUUCAGAUCUAACCCGUCCUAGCCCAGACCAGAGAAUUUCACAUUGUAUUCAUACAAAAUUGUGCUUUUUCGUGUAAAGGUUUUGUGCAGGGCUGCAGGCAAGAAAAUGAGCAGGCUAGUUUAGCAACAGUGGUACAAUCUUCUUUCAGUACUCCAAAAGAAAGAAUUCACAAAUAUAUUCACCUUAAGGUCAUUAAGCAUCCACUAACAAAUAGCCACUUUACAUAUGUGUGUGUGUGUGUGUACACAUUUAUAUGGUAUUAUCUAGAGCAUGUAUCAGAAAUAUAUUAGUAUAGUUUUGAGUAACUUGAAGCCUAACAGAGCAAGCCAAAGAAACCCUGAUGAGAAGUAUCAUCAUUUUGCAACCUUCGCAUUUGUAUAAAUACUAAUCCAUGAAAUCUAACCAAUAUUCAUAGUACAGAAAGGUAAUUCAUCCCUAAAAUAAGCUGUCCGAGACCAGAAAGUGAUCUCUCCAGCAUGGCAGUAGCUACUAGCUGAUGCCACAAAGCAAAGAAAUCUAGUAAAUAACAAUCUGGAAUCACUUACAUCAUCAGCCACCAAGGAGAAGCGCCAUAUCCUACAGCAAAUUGUGAUGUGCUGUACAUGUUUUCAAAGCUCUUACUGGUGGUUCCAGCUCCAUCCACUCGUGUAGAAAAGUUAACUCACUAAGGCCCAAAAGUAGAAGCUAUCCAUUGUAUCAGAUGCUAAUUUUCCAUUGUACCCUCAGUAUUGUUUAAGAGACUACUUUUUAAUGCAUAAUUAGUUUGCAACUUUUUAUUCAAACAAAGGGAUAGUAGAUUCAAAUAGCAGAGAGCUAACAUCUCCUAAAAAUUUGUACAUACCAUCAAGCGACUAAUUGCCUCUUCACUCAGAACUUCAAAAAAGCUGAAGCGAAUUGUAUGUAGAAGCUAGAGACACCAUAAAACGCUAAUAUAUCACAUCCCGUAGCUAUUAUUGAAUCUGAAGCGAAAGAACUACAAGCAAAAAAAAAAAAAAAAGAAACCAGAGCAGGCUCACAAUCAGAGAAGUGCCUAGAUCAUGCAAGCUUCUCUUGUUCCAAAUUCACUCACACUUUGUUUCCCUUUGAUGUAACAUAAUAAAAGGGAAAAGUCAACUAUAGGUUACUUCCUAGAAAAUUUUACAAGGUUCACUGAAGCAUAAUCAUUAUCCCCUAGAUAGAUAUUGUCAAUCACGAUAGAAACUCUACUUCAUUUGACCCAAAAAAAAGGGAACAAUCACACCAAUAAAAAGGAACACUUCCAAGACAGCAGUAAGCUCAAUAGUUCAAAUCCUGGUUGUCGUCAUCUUGAUACAGAUUAAAAUUAAAACAUAUACUACACGGAAAGAAUGUCUUCUCCUUCCUUACCAGCAAGUAUCAUACAAUUUAUAAUGGUUCUUUCUCCAAGAUAACACAAAUAUCUUAAAAGAAAAGUUUGCAUAUGUCAUAAUAUCCACACAUAUAUAGAUAUGCACAACUUAAAAACAUCAACAUAAGUAAAAGUCGUUUGAGAAAGAUAUCAAAUCAGCUCCGUACUGAGAAAAUAGACUUCAAAUUUGACAGAAGUAGCUCGAGUGUGACAUUGGCGAACAUGCGAAGCAUUUAAUCCUCCAACUCAGUGGAAACAUCUAUCGCAACGAUAGAUGAAAAAACACAGU